GCCCGAAUGCCGGUGUCUUUUCUGGUUACAUAUUUUGGCGACUCCGUGCCGGGACAGACUUUGGGACUCUCCGGUAAGUCUGGGUGUUUGGCGGGGAGUCCCAUUGGCUACCUGGACUCGGAGGCCCUGGGGGUUUGGAGUCAGAGAAUCCCAAGCAGCUGCCAAGUGAUUUCACUUGGGGAUUCUCCUCCCCUCGCUCCCAGCACCUCUCGUCGUGCAUCACACUGGAUGGAAUCCUUGCGCUUUCUGGUUCAGGUUGAAAUCCCGGGUCACAACUUAGGUCAUCUGUUCUGUGCUGGGUACCUUCUGUUUGGAGCUCCGUCAGUGUGAAAGAAUUUC